AUUGAACGCUGGCGGCAGGCUUAACACAUGCAAGUCGAGCGGGGGAAGGUAGCUUGCUACCGGACCUAGCGGCGGACGGGUGAGUAAUGCUUAGGAAUCUGCCUAUUAGUGGGGGACAACAUCUCGAAAGGGAGGCUAAUACCGCAUACGUCCUACGGGAGAAAGCAGGGGAUCUUCGGACCUUGCGCUAAUAGAUGAGCCUAAGUCGGAUUAGCUAGUUGGUGGGGUAAAGGCCUACCAAGGCGACGAUCUGUAGCGGGUCUGAGAGGAUGAUCCGCCACACUGGGACUGCGACACGGCCCGGACUCCUACGGGAGGCAGCAGUGGGGAAUAUUGGACAAUGGGGGGAACCCUGAUCCAGCCAUGCCGCGUGUGUGAAGAAGGCCUUAUGGUUGUAAAGCACUUUAAGCGAGGAGGAGGCUACUCUAGUUAAUACCUAGGGAUAGUGGACGUUACUCGCAGAAUAAGCACCGGCUAACUCUGUGCCAGCAGCCGCAGUAA
rnacentral:rRNA from 1 species